rnacentral:rRNA from 1 species
UACAGAGGUCUCAAGCGUUGUUCGGAUUCAUUGGGCGUAAAGGGUGCGUAGGUGGCGCGGUAAGUCGGGUGUGAAAUUUCGGAGCUUAACUCCGAAACUGCAUUCGAUACUGCCGUGCUUGAGGACUGGAGAGGAGACUGGAAUUUACGGUGUAGCAGUGAAAUGCGUAGAGAUCGUAAGGAAGACCAGUGGCGAAGGCGGGUCUCUGGGCCGAUACUGACGCUGAGACGCGAAAGCGUGGGUAGCAAACAGG